AUGCGAAACCCGCCCGGUGCAUCCGGGCGCGGUCACCAGGGCGUGGCGGUCCUGGUCUGAUGAGCAGCUAAAC
rnacentral:hammerhead_ribozyme from 1 species